ACUCUUUGUUCUGUGAUAUUUAGCUAGUAUUAGGCUAACUUUUUCAAGGUGGAUUAAAUAAUUUCUGGACAGUGAUUCAGAAAAGUGAUCCAGCACAACUUCAUAUCUUCAUAUUGAUAUCAUCACAAUCCUGAGCCUGCUUCUUAAUUGUAGCUGCCAAACAGUAAUAAUCACAACUACAACUCCAACCACAACACCUACAAUUCCAACCGCAAGCAGCACAACUCCUUUAGUAUUCGGCUCAGGAAUCAGCCCCACAGGAAGUGGCACUACUGGCAUCAAUGACUCAAGUGCUACUCUACCUCUCAUCACUAGAGGCACUAUCCUGUUCUUUUCUCUGGGCCUGACCCUUUAGUCAGUGUUGCUGUGGGCCUGAUAAUACUACAC